GGCCAAAGAAAACAAAAUUUCUAUAUAAUAACUAUCUACAAUUACAACGCAUUUAAAACUAAGGAUUUAUCUAUAUAUUGAAUGCUAGGUUUAGUCUCAAGUGCACCUGCAAUGUCCAUUUGUAAUUAAAAAACAAUAUUAAAAACCAUCGUGGUUUGUGUAUCGUCUGGAUAAUGCAGGACUGCAUGUUAAUUAUGUAAAGUAGCAUUUCAAUAAUGUAUUUUUAGAUGACUUAUUUGAUUUUCCCGGCAAUGAUUGUUAAAAAUUGCAGUAAUUUAUGGAAUUACUUUAUCUUACAGUGUCGUUUCCUGCCUAGUUUGAGAUAUUUUCUCUGCAGCUUGGGAUGUAAGUUUCGAAAAAACUUACUAUUCAACAAAUAAAAAAUUCUUAAGUAAAGAUAAAAAACCCAUAUAGUUCUCCAGUUUGUCCAGUAUUUCCUCCGGCGUCCAGCAUCGUUCAGAUGAGAGCAGUGCUUCAGACCAUGAAUUCAUUACAACUCUUAUGCUGAACU